AUGCCCCAUAUAACUGGACGCCAACCCCAUGGCAAUUUCUGUUCCAAAAGCUCCAUCGCCAUUUCCUACAGAGCCCCGCCAACACCUCCAAAACUCCCCGUGGUCAGGGAAAAGCGUAGUGCUAGAGAGAUGGAUGGCCGCCAUCUGCUGGGUGCCGCAGGAGCUGCGAGAGCGAACCAGAACAAUGCCAAGAUCGUCAGGAUGGCGGUGCCCGUUCUGGCCAUGCUGCUGCUGCUGCUCACGGCGGCGGCAGUCUCCAUGACGGCCGACGACCGGGCCUGCCUCCGCGCCUUCUUCCGCAGCCACAUGUUCCUGAUGUUCUGCGUGCUCGUGAACACCACCUCCGGCUGUGCCCUGGCGUGGAUGGCCGUCACGGCGCCGACGCAGGCUGCCCGGCGCUCGUACGCGGAGUCCACCGUCGCGUCCUUCGUGCUUCUUGCCGUCAAUCUGCACUCAGCCUUGUCCAACCUCCCGGAUGUCGGCGAUGCUGCUUAG
rnacentral:rRNA from 1 species